UUCGCAAUGCCCGAAAGGGUGACGAAGCGACGCCGCGUGCGGGAAGAAGGCCUUCGGGUUGUAAACCGCUGUCGGGAGUUAAGAAAUGCAAGGGUGUUAACAGCAUCCUUGCUUGACUAAGGCUCCGGAGGAAGCCACGGCUAACUCUGUGCCAGCAGCCGCGGUAAUACAGAGGCGGCAAGCGUUGUUCGGAAUUAUUGGGCGUAAAGAGCACGUAGGCGGCCGUGUAAGUCGGUUGUGAAAGCCUUCCGCUCAACGGGAGAACGGCAUCCGAUACUGCAUGGCUCGAGUGCGGGAGGGGAGAGUGGAACUUCUGGUGGAGCGGUGAAAUGCGUAGAUAUCAGAAGGAACACCGGCGGCGAAGGCGACUCUCUGGCCCGUAACUGACGCUGAGUGUGCGAAAGCUAGGGGAGCAAGCGGGAUUAGAUACCCCGGUAGUCCUAGCCGUAAACGAUGGGCACUAAGUAGAGGGGUUUU
rnacentral:rRNA from 1 species